AAGCGCUUAUGACCAGACUUGGGCCUGCCGGAUCAACCUGGGUUCUCCCGGGUGCACUCCUUCAGAUUCAGGCCAGCAUCAGUUCGGCGCGGGGGACAAAGGCUUCGGGAAUGUGGCUCCCCUCGGGGAGUGUUAUAGCCCGUUGCGUAAUACCCUGCGCUGGACUGAGGACCGCGCUUCGGCAAGGAUGCUGGCGUAAUGGUCAUCAGCGA
rnacentral:rRNA from 1 species